rnacentral:rRNA from 1 species
GACAGAGGGUGCAAACGUUGCUCGGAAUUACUGGGCGUAAAGCGCGUGUAGGCGGGUCGGUGUGUCAGAUGUGAAAUCCCUGGGCUCAACCCAGGAACUGCAUUUGAAACUGCCGAUCUUGAGUGGUGGAGAGGGAAGUGGAAUUCCUGGUGUAGAGGUGAAAUUCGUAGAUAUCAGGAGGAACACCAGUGGCGAAGGCGGCUUCCUGGACACCAACUGACGCUGAGACGCGAAAGCGUGGGGAGCAAACAGG